UUUUUUUUUUUAAAUCAAUUUAUUAUUUAUUAAUUGUUUAAAAAACAGGAAGCACAACUUUCUGACUAAAACACGAGGAGUUUCACUUCAUGUGUAACCUACUGACGGUUGUUUCCACUCUAAUGAAACCAUCAGUCUCCAUCCGGACGAGCAUGUGCAUCAGAAUCUACUAGAAGAACAAAGCACCUCCACUGCACUCACCCCAUUCUUCUGUUUGAGCAGAACCCUGAGAACCUUCUCCACGAAGAAGAAGAGGUAGAAACCUCCGAACACGACGGCCGACUUGGACACGUAGAAAUCCACCAUGGGGUCAAAACCAAACGCCUGCCACGCAGGAGAGAAGACAGAGCUAGAUUCUUCUGGAUAUGUCACAUCUAUGUUCAAUGCUGUAUAGCCCCCCCCGCACUGAGCUACAGCUAAGUGAGUCCCAGCAGCAGCGACACUACCUCUGGGAUGAGCUGAAACAGGGCGUUGGAGUAGAGCGUGCCAAUGGCCAGGGCUAUGAAGUAGAGCAGCAGGCGCUUGUAAAAGGUUUUCUUCAUGAAGGGCACCACGCUGGCCCCCACCAGCGAACACAGAGAGAUGAGUGUCACAGACAGGAUCCCAUAACCCCACACUGAUCGACAGAGAGGAAGCAGGAAGAAGAGGAGGAGGAGGGAAGGGCUCUGAGGGACAUCUGCCUGGGGACAGGACGUCAGCCGCCACUGGGAGAAGAGACGCUGAGACACUUUUCCUGGAGGAGUCUGCUACACACUGGUCAUGCUGACUGAAGCAGGGUUGGGAAAAUUAAAGGACGUGUUGGUUUUUAAACCAAACUGAGACUUGUAAUCGGAGCCUUGGCUCAACCUUGUGAAUGCUUAUUUUGGCUGUGAUUCCCUUUGGGGGAUAAGAUAAUAUCACAAUCUCCAGCAGGCAACAGAACAAACAGCUGGAGCUCUGACAUCAGUUUGAAAAGUCUCAUUGAUCCAAGAGAGAGCACGGGGGAAACUUGUAAUGGAGUUACCACAUGUACUCACUGUAACAGGAGAAAAAACACAACUUUAGCCUAUAACUUAUAUAUGGAAUGUACAGAGAUACAGAGAUGAGCCGCGGGGCUGAAUGUGUGAGCGUCAGAGUGAGAGCCUCUGGACCUUCUGCUGCUGAGUGGAUGUGAGAAACACACCAGGAGAUCUGUGGAUGUGUGGAUGAUUCAACAGAUGCAAAAAUGUAAAUAAAAUAAAACAUUUCUCUGGAUGGAAAAGCAAUGACACACACGUAGAAGAACAGACAAAGAAUCUAUACAAACAUGUUCAUAUGUGCAAUAAACAUUAGAUUGGAAAAUGAAUUGAAUCACAGAGAAGCUGAGAGUGACAAGUGGGUCCUCACCUUCAGCUCCUGUGGGCCUGGGGGGGGGCUCGAUGGGCAGCAUCUCCUCUUUCUGCAGCUUGCAGGACCCGGCAUCCAGCUGCAACAGCAUGGUGGGACACAGCUCGGUCAGGCCCUGCCCGUCCAGCCGGGUCUGCUCACUGAUGUUGUAAAUGGCCAACGUGUCUGCAGCCAGGCACUGGAAAGGAAAACAAACCAGUCA